AGUGCCUGGUGGGUAGUUUAACUGGGGCGGUUGCCUCCUAAAAUGUAACGGAGGCGCCCAAAGGUUCCCUCAACCUGGACGGCAAUCAGGUGUUGAGUGUAAAUGCACAAGGGAGCUUGACUGCGAGACCUACAAGUCAAGCAGGGACGAAAGUCGGGAUUAGUGAUCCGGCACCUCUGAGUGGAAGGGGUGUCGCUCAACGGAUAAAAGGUACCCCGGGGAUAACAGGCUGAUCUUCCCCAAGAGUCCAUAUCGACGGGAUGGUUUGGCACCUCGAUGUCGGCUCGUCGCAUCCUGGGGCUGGAGCAGGUCCCAAGGGUUGGGCUGUUCGCCCAUUAAAGCGGCACGCGAGCUGGGUUUAGAACGUCGUGAGACAGUUCGGUCUCUAUCCGCCGCGCGCGUCAGAAACUUGAGGAAACCUGUCCCUAGUACGAGAGGACCGGGACGGACGAACCUCUAGUGCACCAGUUGUUCCACCAGGAGCACCGCUGGAUAGCUACGUUCGGACAGGAUAACCGCUGAAAGCAUCUAAGCGGGAAACCUUCUCCAAGAUCAGGUUUCUCACCCUCUAGGAGGGAUAAGGCCCCCAGCAGAACACUGGAUUGAUAGGCCAGACCUGGAAGCUCAGUAAUGAGUGCAGGGAACUGGCACUAACCGGCCGAAAACUUACCAACACAACC
rnacentral:rRNA from 1 species